GUGCUGGCUUCAGUAGCACCGACACUGAAAUUGUGGCAAUCCAGGAAAGAUUAGUAUGGCCCCUGCCCAACGAUAACCUGCAAAUUCGUGAAACAUUCCUUCUUUAA
ensembl:snRNA U6 U6 spliceosomal RNA